UACACCACCAGGCUGGCCCCCCAGGUCAGAUUUGAAUGCUCUUGUGCUCAGGAAUCCACCCUAGGACCCUCCUCAGUGUGUAACCCUGACUUUCAGGAAGUCCUUCCAGCAUUCUGACCACAAUUCCUGGGUGACACUUGAGAAACCAGCAGUCCCAAAGCCCCUGAAUGAAACAGAUAUCAGCCCUACAUUCCAGGAACAUGUAGUACUACACCCUCAUUCAGCUCCCCCCAUCCUGCCUUUCCAAAGGAGGAAGGUGGGAUCCCACAUUCCCAAAGGUCUCUCCCAUUUGGGUAUCCUAUUCCUAUCCUAUUUCUGCUUUCAGAAUGCCCAACAUCAACACUUCCUGUCCCACCACCAUCCCUCUCCACAUCUGCAAGCUCACAAGGUCAAGUGGUUUUCCCUGCACCAAGGUUUGAGAAUUCCUGGGGGUGCUGAGAUCCCUUGGCCAGAAGGAAGCUAGGGGAAAGUGGAAAUCACCUCCCCUCAAGCCCUGCUGGGGGGACUUGAGGUCACAAAGCUGGGGAUGUUCUGAGGCCUGGCUACCACUCCCUCCUCAUCUAAGGGGCAAUACUAACAGGGAGAAGAUACGUGAAUUCCAGAGGCGCUCCCCAUCAUGAGGGUGGAGAGGAGGAAGAAGUGAGUUCUGCCCCCAAUCAUCUCCCCCUGCCAUUGCUGAGCCAGACAGGCACAAGGGUGUGAAUAGGUCUCCGCCUCCCCAAAAAAAACCUUAGUGGGGUGGGAGCAACUCGCAUAGCUGAGGGAGGGGGGACCUGGGGGCUGGAGAGGCAGGAAGGUGGAAACCCGCUCAGACAAAGGCUGACCCCAGCCAGGCUGACUGGCCAGCUAGCCCACCCCCACCCCCCUGCGGCAGGCAGCUUGGCAGGGCUGAGCGCCAGCUCCUCGAUCCAAACCGAGUUCCCACCGAGCGUGCUUAAUGCACCGGCGGUGACAUUUCUGCCUUCAGAGGCAAAAACAGGAACCCGGCCAUUUUGAUGAAGGGCGCCCAAAGUGCAGACGGUAGAUGGAGGACCAGGAUCCGACUCCUGCACCCCCCACCCUAACCGCCCACUCUCCCCUCUGCCCAGUGCCCAAGCCAGAGGGUCACAAAACUGGGGUGGCCAAACAGGGAAGAUGCUACAGAAACCCCCACCUUCUUGUAUAGGUGGGGAAACUGAGGCCACAGCGCUGAAACUAGCUAGAUCUGGAGAAUGUUAAAGGAGGGACUGAGAAAAGCACCGGGGCGGAUGGCCUGAAGAAAGUCCAGGUGGGAGCGCUUGUUUGAGGAGCCAGAGAGCUGAACCGAGCAGGCCGCAAGGACAGGUUUCAAAAGAGUUUGCACACCUGGCCCCCAACCGUGGCGCGCCCUCAUGAGGGCGCUCGCGGUGCCUCUAAUCCUCCAAGCAGCGAGAGGGUUAACCUUCCUCGCGGUACUUGCCGCAGUAAGUGGAAAGGAAAGAAGUGUCAACUCUGUUCUCACCACAGCGGGGCUGUCGGAUGGCACCUCCCCCCGCCCCGCGCACCCCGCCCGGCCUGCUCCCCCGCCCUCCCCUCGGAGCGCGCGCGCAUACACCUCCCACCGCUUUGCCCAAAUUAUUUUCGAUCCCGGGAGACUCCGGAUGCCAGACGCGCUCCGCGGCGGCGGCGGCGGCGGCCGCGCCUGAUUCAUUGCGCCAAAGCUGCAGAUGCGACCUCCCGCCUGCGCCCUGUGCCCCGGCCUGCGUGCGCGCCUGGAGAGACUGGGGGUGUGGCAAUUUGUAGGCGCUACCCCCCUACACAAGAGGCGGGCCCUGGCCCCCUGGGGCCAGGUCCCCAGUCCCCAGCUCCGCGGGCUGCGCUAAUUAGCUUCCUCGGGGGGCGCCACGCGGCGUGAGGGGCGGCAAUUUCCCGGCUGGGCUGCGGGGGAAGCUCUCCCACCGCCUGGGAAGUGCACCGUCUCCAUGGAAACCGCGGAGGAGGUCACGGUAGCUGGGCCCCCGCGCGUCACCCCGCGCCUCGCCGGCUGCAGGCGCCCGGAUUGCGGCCUCCCAGGCGCCGCGGCCCGCGUGGACUCCACUCCAAGUUCCCCGCCCCCGCUCUACUCCGCCCGCGGCUCAGGCCAUGUGACUCUGCCGGGUCCAAACCCAGAAUGGCGCACCUGGGCACCAGUGCGCUAGGCUGUGCCUCUGUCCCCGGGCUCUGGCACGCGGGAAUGCGCCAAGAAACACGUGCCCAGCUCCAAGUCGGGAACAUGUGUGGCCAGACGCCGCCGAGGGGCUCAAUGCACUUGCGAAUGCCCUGGAAGAUCGACCUAUAUUGGCGCACAACUCCAGAGCUCUUGCUAAAACGAGACCGCCCGUGGUUAACGCCGGCUCUGGAGUCAGCCGAAUCCCGCCUAGGUAACUUAGCUAUGUGACUUCAAGCAAGUCACGACCUCUCUGCGCCUCAGCUUGCACAUCAGCAAAGCGGAAUUAGUGUGAGGCCUCAGACAAAGUACGUCAAACGCCUAUCACUGUGUUUGGCACGUGGUUCUGAAAAAUGGUAGCUGUGGUUGGGGUUAUUUUUUCCCAGCUGGGAAAGCCAAAGCCCAGAAGGCUUCGCUCAAGAGUGCGGUCAGCCUGAAGGCUGGGAGUUACACCUUGGGAGCUCCCCAGCACCUCAGCCUAGACGCAAAGGCGGGAGGUGAGGGCACGCGUGCCAGCGGCCUAGGGCCUGGGGCGCGGCGGACGGGGUUGGAGCCUCCCGAGCUAGCCACAUCCGCACCCGGAACCCUGGAAAGGGGGCUCCCCGCGGUCUCUCCACCCCCGCCCUCACCCCCGCGCCAGCACCAUUAGCAACAGGCCAGCCUGCCCUCCCUCCCAGGGCUGAGGCCGCACCUGCCCCACCGGAUGGCCGCCCCGGGGCCAGGCCGUGCCCCCCACCGCGCACACUUCCUCCGCCCGCCCCCCCCCAGCGCCCCGUCGAGUGCGCAGGGGGAGGGGAGCGGGCCGCCCCCGCCCCGCCAGCUUCCCACAGCCUGAGCUGCCCGGAGCCGGGGAGGCAGGAAGUCUCAGAGCCGGGGCGUGGAGGCGGGGUAGGGGCAGGAAGUUGGGGGUGACUCUCCCAGAGACCCCAGACGGGGCCCCGGCGUGGGAGCGGGGUGGGCGGGCGCGUAGGGAUUAAGGGUGCCCCCUCCUCUGUAGCUUUAGGCCAUGUGACCCAGGCCGGAGCGCCCCGCUGGGUGAGGGCUAAGGCCGCUACCUCUGGCGACCCCCAGCAGCGCGCACAAGGAGGGAGGGGCCGCCUUUGUCUACUUUGCCGCAGAGGCAGCCCCCCACCACCCCUCCCCCCGCGCCCCGCCGGGCCCUGCACAGCCCGGGUUUUCCAUCCGGCCCGGCUCGGCUCGGCAGCUGUCAGGGGACCGAGCUGACCUUCGCGAGCAGGGAGUUUCAAUUAGCCGCAGAUCAGAUAAGCGGGCGGGCCCGUCUCUCCGGGCACCGCGGGGGCGCAGCCCCGCCCCCGCCACGCCGCGCCAAACGCGCUCCAGAUGGGAACAAAGAUGAGGACGCAGCUCCACCUGCCUCCCCGGGGAGGGGGGAAGAGGAGGCCCCGCCGGGAGGAGCUUCCCACCGGAGGAAAGGGUUGCGCGCCCUCCCCUGCCCGUCUAGGAUCUCAGGCCCGGGCAGGGGUCUAGUCAAGACGAUCUUUGCGGCUCUGCUUGCCUCCUGCACUGCAGAGAGGUGCCUGCCGCACUGACCUCAUCCCCAGGCGGGCAUCGUGCCCUCCCUCCUCCGGAAAGAACCUUUUACCAUCUUUGAUCUCAUCCAGAGCUCUCCCUAAGAGGCUGAGAAGAGGCAGAGCCCAACAGAAAAAGGAAACUGAGGUAGAGAGGGCCUAGGACUUCCUGAUCCAGGUCACACCAACUACAACAUUCUUUCAGAUGUUUAUUGAGUGCCUACUAAGUGCCAGGCACUAUUUAGACUAUGGGGACACCAGAAAACAAAAAUAGUAUCCUUCCCAGCCUCACAGAACUUACAUUCUAAUUCAAUGAGACAGACUUUAACCAAGUAAACAAAUACAUAGUUGAACAAGAGCAUUUCUGAGCGUCUGAAGAGCCUUGAAGAUAUUAAAAUAGGUCAUGUGAGACUGAUUUCAGGGAGGGGACCAUGUUAGCUAUGGUAGUCAGAGAGGACCUCACUGAGGCCUGAAAGGCCAGGAGGAGCCAGCCAAGCAAAGGAGAGCGGGUGGAGCAGGCCACUGUGGGCCUGACCUCAGGCCCAAAGGGGAAAGCAGACCAGGGGAGGAGGUCAGGGUUUAUGCAGAGUGCAUUGGGAGCCUUUGGUGGGUUCCAGGCUGGGAGUGACAUGGUCUGACUUAAAUUUUUAAAAGAUCCCUCUGGCUACUGUGUAGAUGGAAGGAAGGCAAAGCUGUAAGCAAGGAGACCAGGGAGGAGGGGGAGAGGAUAGGGCCGGAGGGGGGAGAGGGGAUGGAGGAGGGGUUAUUGGAUUAGUGAUAUAUUUGGCACGUGAAGUGAUUGUGGGGAUGAGGUAGAGCACAGGAAGCUUGGUGAGUGUGCAAGUCAAGAUUUGAACCUAGGUCAGCCUUUGGGAGUGUGGAGGAGCUGCUUGGAGGUGAAGAGCAAAGCUAUGGAGCAAGAAUGCCAGGGUUCAAAUCCCCCUAGUGAUAAUCACCAACUGAGUGACCUGGGGCAAGCAUCUCUAUCAGUUUCCUCAAGCGUUUAAAAAGGAGAAGAAUGAUAAUGGAAAUUGUCAUUGUAAGGUUUGAAUAUGAUAUAACGUGAAAAGUGUGUAUCACAGAGUCUAGUAACUAGUAGGUGCUCAAUAAAUGUUGACUAUUA